GACUCACCAACAAGGCCAUUCAGGACUGAAUGCAUUUCCAGGAUGAAACUUAGACCGUAUCAGCUGGAGAGAGAUCCCAAAAUACUUGAAGCCAAAUAGGUCCAUCUUGUGUUGAAGAAACCAUCUCCAUGGAUGUCAGAAAUAUGAAUGAAUUCAGGUCAAAAACUUAUUUUUUUUUAACUGAUC